rnacentral:lncRNA from 1 species
CGACACUCCAGAACGGUUGGAGAGUCUGCUGAUCCUUGCUAAUUCCUGAUCCCAUGGCCCCACUACCUGAAGGAUGCUCUGCUUUCUGGACAAUCAGGAAUAAUUACCUGCGGGUAUAAGAGGUUACGUAAGUCCCGCGUCUGGCGUUUAUAAAACACAAAAACAAACUUUUACUUUUGUUUAUUAAAAGCGGAAGGUCAGUCCGAAAGGGUCGCCAAGGGUUGAUAUGUUCAUGGGUCUCUCGGAUUAAAAGUGUUCAGGAUGAAACUGGAGGGUUCUGGAAUCUCCUCUAGCACUCACACCCCACAAACUCCCGACAAGUGUGGAUUCUAGAGGCCGGGACCAGCCGCAGAACAGCGAAAGAGCCUCUAGUGCGCCUCAGCUUCAGCGCGCUCUCGCCCGGAUGCUUUGUUUAUUUGAGGAGACCAGGGAACGUGGGGAAGAUCGAAGAGCAGUUUUUCUUUUUUCUUUUAUGCUUUCCUUGAACAGAAUGGUAUGUACAUGAGAACUCAUCGUCUCUUGGAAGUAUCUUCAGAUUCUUGGAGAAAACCUAUGAGACCUGGGCAGGAAAGGAUUAAGCUAAUACAGGUUAUGGUGCUGUCUCUGCUUUAAAUUCCGUUCCUUUGGUCUUCCUUCGCAUCCAGGAGAGUGCGGCCCCAGGCUGCUCGGAGACUCGCGCACACCCAAGAUCCAGAGGCGCAGAGAGCAAGGGUGCGAGGGCUGAAAGGAAGGGAGCCAGACUGCUGGCCCUGGGCGCGCAAUACUUUCACCGUGGGAACUACCCCCUCCCCUGCGUGUGCGGUUGGGCUCCGCCCCAACGGGCCCGGGUCUGAGCGACCCACCGGGUGGUUCCCGCUUGGGGUAAGCUGAAUCCGCGGGUUAGGCUCCUGCGGGAAAGCUAGCCUGGGCAGGUGCCGUGGGGUCAGAUCUGCCCCGGGGGUUGCAAACCGCAAACGAAAGUCGAGAAGGGCGAGGGCUUUCCGUCUAAUCCGUUUUACACAGUGAAAACCGCAGACCUGUCGCCCAGGCGGCCACUUUUUAAUUGGGAAGCAAAUAGACGAAAAACCAAAACAAACGCGCAAGAAGACUUUCUUUAGGCUUUACCUUUUCAAUAAAAAGAUCACUUUCUGGUAAAGAGGAAAACUGAUCUGCGCUCACUAUUGCUCUGGGGAUCUGGACACUCAGGAAGCGCGACUGCGAUCCCCGUGCGUGGAGCAACUCAGACUGUAUCCCUCACACCAUGCUCCUCCAGCUUCUCGGUGUGUCGUUCUCCACUGGCCUCCCUCCUCUCCGCGGGUCCCGCCGAGGCCAUAGGCUCUAUUCAAGCCCUAUCUCGCGCUUUCUUGUUGGGGCUGAAGGGCAAAUAUGAGCGUUGGGAUGUUGGGGUUCCGAGUGUAUUGAGUUAUUCUUAAAUCCAGAUUCCUUCUGAGUUCGGGGCACAUGUUUUGGAACUGUUUUGGAAAACUUCAGGCAGAGCAGCAGAGACUAUUGCAGACGCAUUUCUAAUCUCCCAGUUUUUCUUGGGAGAAAACUGAAGUUGCUAGGUGCAUGCAGCACCGCCCAGGCAAACUCCAUUUACCGCGCCCCCUGCCAGGGAUGCCCUGAGAAGCCUGCAAAGAAGCGAGGAUAGCUGUAAUGGGUAGAGGUGGGGAACUCUGUG